rnacentral:rRNA from 1 species
AGAGUUUGAUCAUGGCUCAGGACGAACGCUGGCGGCGCGCUUAACACAUGCAAGUCGAGCGAGAACCGGUCCUUCGGGACCGGGGAAAGCGGCGAACGGGUGAGUAACACGUGGGUAAUCAACCCUAGGCACUGGGAUAGCCCGAGGAAACUCGGAUUAAUACCGGAUGGCCCAGCAGCUCUUCGGGGCGGCUGGAAAAGGUAGCUUCGGCCUCCGGCCUGGGACGAGCCCGCGGCGGAUUAGCUUGUUGGUGGGGUAACGGCCCACCAAGGCGACGAUCCGUAGCUGGUCUGAGAGGACGAUCAGCCACACUGGGACUGAGACACGGCCCAGACUCCUACGGGAGGCAGCAGUGGGGAAUCUUGCGCAAUGGGCGAAAGCCUGACGCAGCGACGCCGCGUGAGGGAAGAAGGCUUUCGGGUUGUAAACCUCUUUCAGGAGGGACGAAGCUACUCGGGUUAAUAGCCCAGAGGGUGACGGUACCUCCAGAAGAAGCCCGGCUAACUACGUGCCAGCAGCCGCGGUA